GAUCUGAUGGUGUAGUGGUAACAUGCCUGCUGAAUUUAAGGGAUGUAGAACACAGUAAGCAGGAGGCCCUGGUUCGAACCCGGGUCGGGUCA